UACGUAGGUGGCAAGCGUUGUCCGGAUUUACUGGGCGUAAAGAGCGCGCAGGCGGCCGAGUAAGUCGAAUGUGAAAGCCCCCGGCUUAACUGGGGAGGGUCAUUCGAUACUGUUCGACUUGAAGGCAGGAGAGGGCAGCAGAAUUCCCGGUGUAGUGGUGAAAUGCGUAGAUAUCGGGAGGAAUACCAGUGGCGAAGGCAGGUACCUGGACUAUUACUGACACUAAACUGCGAAAGCUAGGGGAGCAAACAGG
rnacentral:rRNA from 1 species